CGCCCCUGGGCUCCCAGUAACUUAGACUGACCUUAGCCGAAGAGGCCCGUUCUCUGUCUGGAGCCUCGAUGGCCCUCUGGACUAAGGGCAAUAGUUGCCUGGCGGCCGGCUUGCUGCAAGACCAAGUGGCUAUCGUCACCGGCGGGGCCACGGGCAUAGGAAAGGCCAUUGUGAAGGAACUCCUGCACCUGGGGAGUAAUGUGGUCAUCACAUCCCGUAAGUUUGACAGAUUGAAAUCUGCUGCGAGAGAACUGAAUGCCAGCCUGCCUCCCAGAAGCCAGGCUCGAGUCACCCCCAUCCAGUGCAACAUCCGGAACGAAGAGGAGGUGAAUAAUUUAAUCAAAUCUACGUUAGCUACUUAUGGUAAGAUCAAUUUCUUGGUAAACAAUGCAGGAGGCCAGUUCCUUUCCCCUGCUGAACACAUCACUUCAAAGGGGUGGAAUGCUGUGGUUGAGACCAACCUGACAGGCACCUUCUACAUGUGCAAAGAAGUUUACAACUCCUGGAUGAAAGAGCAUGGAGGAUCUAUUGUUAAUAUCAUUGUGGUUACUAAAAGUGGAUUUCCAACAGCUGCGCAUUCUGGAGCUGCAAGAGAAGGUGUUUACAACCUCACCAAAUCCUUAGCAUUGGAAUGGGCCUCCAGUGGAGUGAGGAUCAACUGUGUUGGCCCUGGAAGAAUUUAUUCCCAGACUGCUGUGGACAACUAUGGUUCUUUAGGACAAGACUUAUUCGAAGGGUUUAUUAAGAAUAUCCCAGCUAAGCGACUUGGUGUUCCUGAGGAGGUAUCCUCCGUGGUGUGCUUCCUGCUGUCCCCUGCAGCUUCCUUUGUCACCGGACAGGUGGUGGAUGUGGAUGGGGGCCAGUCUCUCUACUGCCACGGCUAUGACAUACCAGACUCAAAUAUCAGUCCUCAGCUAAUAACCACAACCAGAUGGAUGAAGUGCGCUGUCUUAGCUUAGAUUGCAUGUCCCUGCCUUGGGGCCAGGGUUCCCCUAGAACCUUGAGGAUUCUCAAAUGACAACAAGAGGCUGUUGAAAGGAGGUGAUGGAGGGCCAGAUGCUGAGGAGGCAACGUUCAGUGCCUAGUACAAAAUCAUGACAACUGGCCUGAGGGCGCAGGAGACCUUUCUGUUGUCAAAAAGAUCAAGGAAUCUUUGAAGUUCAAAGCUAAACUUUAAGUUGAAGAAACCAUGAGUUGUUCUUUAUCCCUGAGUGCCUUAGCAUCUUGACAAUGUACUUCUGUGCUUGUUAAGAGUUUAGGAUUCAUAUGGAAAAAACAAAUUACUGCUUUGUAAAUGUUAUUAAUGAUAUAUGUGCAUAAACUAUUCCAGAAAUAAACGCAUUUUUGUAUCUCAACCAUUACCUUUAUAACUGUGAUUAAAAAAAUUUUUUAAGUAAGCUGGGUGCGGUGGCUCAGCCCUGUAACCCCAGCACUUGGGAGGCUGAGACAGGUGGACUGCCUGAGCUCACUAGUUUAAGAACAACCUGAGCAAGAGCAAGACCUCGUCUUUAGAAAAUAGCCAGGCACUGUCGCAAGCGCCUGUAGUCCCAGCUAUCUAGGGAGUCUGAGACAAGAGAAUCACUUGAACCCCAGAGUUUGAGGUUGAGGCCUCUAACAAGGCCUUGGCCCUCUACCAAGGGUGAGCAAGUGAGACUCUGUUUCAAAAAAAAAAAUUUUUUUUGUAAGUAACAGAAAUUAACAUGUUUAAAUGACUUUACUUUCUGUUUCUAAGAAAUGUAUUUGAAAAAUGGAAUAAUUUGAAAUCAAUAGUAAUUAAAGGACUCAUGAACUCCUGGAAGUUUUUAUUACUUAAUUGUAAAGGUAGAAAAUAAAUAUAAUUUGUGGCAUAACUGUGAUUUUUCAAGUACAGUUAUACAGAGACUUUUCUUUAGUGCAAAUACUUUCGGAUCAAUAAAACCUUGUGGUAAUG